rnacentral:lncRNA from 1 species
AGGGACGACGCUAUUAUCUUGUCGACGAAUGUGUUUAAUACAAACAUGAGGUGCCGUAUCAAUCAAUCGUCUACAGUCCUGUAGAAGUAAUCCUAGACGAAUAUCUAACGCGUUAGUGCAGAAAAGGCGGGCCCCUUCAACUGAGUCUGUAUCAAUGACCGUUGGUAGCAUCGGCGGUCGAGAAGCCUCGAGUAAUGCCUGCCGAAUUCCCAGCACUUCCACAGUAAGAGG